AGCGUUUCGCUAGCGCUGGCGCCGUGCGCGUAUUGCAGCGAUGCCCAGCCUGUGUUGUGCUUAUGGGUGCAACAACUGAGGAGGUAAGGGGAAAAGACUGUUCGUCGGAAGAAGUAACGCGGCUCGCUGAAAGAUUUGGCUGCACUGGAUCGGCUCGAAAAAACUUUGAAAAUGUGCGGGACCUGCGUCUUUGUGAGGUGCACAAUAUUGGUCUGGCCGCAUCAAUUCUGCAACAACAUGCAGCCAGCGCAGGACUGCACACGCCGUAUUUGUCGAACCGUCAAGUAUGCCCCCGGAUCACAACUGCUUCACCGAUGCCCCUAGUGCCGCAUAACAGCCUUCGUGAUAACGCCCAUUCGCAGUCUCAAGAUACUCUGACACAGCAGUCACCUGGCCGUCACGCGACGUCGGCGCGCUGCCUUAGAAAGCAUUGAUCCCAGCUGCGCAGUUUCAGUGGGCAGGGCGGACCAUCAACAAGCAUGUGGAUUUAUAAGCCAUUCUUCUGCUUCAUGCAGGUUGUCAAACAUCCGACACGCGUUCACGGCAGUCGGCGACGGUCCUUGAUCUUGUUUUUGUACUGCCGUGGAUCCUGCAUGAAAUGCCAGCCAGGAUAACGAAGACUAGCGCUGGAAUGAUGCCAUUUUUGGUGUUUCACUCUGACCACGUGCAACGAACUUUUCAUUCGUGGGAUACGAGCUGCAAGGUGUGACGUCAUCAGCAACAUACCUACUAAAGGAGCGACGCGAC